rnacentral:rRNA from 1 species
UACGUAGGGUGCAAGCGUUACUCGGAAUUACUGGGCGUAAAGCGCACGUAGUCGGCUUUGCAAGUCGGUUGUGAAAUCCCCGGGCUCAACCUGGGAACUGCAUCCGAGACUGCAUUGCUAGAGUAUGGGAGAGGAAAGCGGAAUUUCUGGUGUAGCAGUGAAAUGCGUAGAUAUCAGAAGGAACAUCAGUGGCGAAGGCGGCUUUCUGGACCAAUACUGACGAUCAGGUGCGAAAGCGUGGGGAGCAAACAGG